AUGUUUAUGCAUGUGGUACCAACGAGGCAAUCAACCCCCGACAUUUUCCAUAUAAUUAGAGGCACGAGGCAAUCAGCCCCCAACAGUGUCAUAAAGACCAAGGCAAUCAGCCCCCACCAUGAAAUCAUGUAUGCGACUCGAAUGGACACGACACACAUACACAACAACAAUCAACAACAACAUCAACUCAUCAUUUGGCGUAAGCCCUCAACGUUUCAUUUACCAAACUCCAAGGUAAAACGAUCAACAACAACAUAUUUUUCAUUAUGCAAAUCAUUAACAACAAUUCAUCAAUCGCCAAAAUCAUGCAUUCAAUUAAUAGAAGCAUAUCAACAAUAUUCAUAA